AGCUUUGCGCAGUGGCAGUAUCGAAGCCAAUGAGGUUUAUCCGAGGCGCGAUUAUUGCUAAUUGAAAACAAAAAAAAAAACAAAAAAAGAAAACUAUCAUUUUUUUAUUUUUUUUUU